UACGGGGGGGGUAAGCGUUGUUCGGAAUUACUGGGCGUAAAGGGCUCGUAGGCGGCCAACUAAGUCAUACGUGAAAAUCCCCUCAGCUUAACUGGGGAACUGCGUGUGAUACUGGAUGGCUUGGAUUUGGGAGAGGGAUGCGGAAUUCCAGGUGUAGCGGUGAAAUGCGUAGAUAUCUGGAGGAACACCGGUGGCGAAGGCGGCAUCCUGGACCAAUAUUGACGCUGAGGAGCGAAAGCCAGGGGAGCAAAGCGGGAUUAGAUGACCCUGGUAGUCCAAGAAGCACUCUGCUCGUAUACCGC
rnacentral:rRNA from 1 species